rnacentral:misc_RNA from 1 species
UCUCCGUAGGUGAACCUGCGGAGGGAUCAUUACAGAGUUCUCGCCCUCGCGGGUAGAUCUCCCACCCACUGUUAUCGUUACUGUGUUGCUUUGGCGGGCCGCCGGGCCCCGCUCGGCCGCCGGCUCCGGCUGGCGCGCGCCCGCCAGAGGCCCAGCAAACUCUGAAUGUUAGUGUCGUCUGAGUACUAUAUAAUAGUUAAAACUUUCAACAACGGAUCUCUUGGCUCUC